rnacentral:rRNA from 1 species
GAUUAAGUUAUUAAGGGCGCACGGUGGAUGCCUUGGCACUAGAAGCCGAUGAAGGACGUUACUAACGACGAUAUGCUUUGGGGAGCUGUAAGUAAGCUUUGAUCCAGAGAUUUCCGAAUGGGGAAACCCAGUAUGAGUUAUGUCAUGUUAUCGAUAUGUGAAUACAUAGCAUAUUAGAAGGCACACCCGGAGAACUGAAACAUCUUAGUACCCGGAGGAAGAGAAAGAAAAUUCGAUUCCCUUAGUAGCGGCGAGCGAAACGGGAAGAGCCCAAACCAACAAGCUUGCUUGUUGGGGUUGUAGGACACUCUAUACGGAGUUACAAAGGACGACAUUAGACGAAUCAU